GUCCACAACCAUGCCACCCUGAACAUGCCUGAUCUUGUCUGAUCUCGGAAGCUAAGCAGGGUCGGGCCUGGUUAGUACUUGGAUGAGAGACCACCUAGGAAUACCAGGUGCCAUAGGCG
rnacentral:rRNA from 1 species